AUGCACCUGCCAGAGAAGGUGGGGGCAGCUGAGGACACACUGAGGAGGAUGCUGCUGCUGCUGCUGCUGCUGCUGGGGCCCAGCUCCGGGCUGGAGGCUCAGGUGAAUCAGAAGCCCAGGAGGGCGAUCAGCUGGAACGGGAGCUCCGUGGAGAUCCACUGCAGGCCAGAGGGUUUUCAGAGCACAACCAUGUACUGGUAUCAACAGUUCCCGAAUCAGGGCCUCACACUGAUGGCAACUUGUAAUGUGGAGGAGUACAGUCCCACCUAUGAGCAAGGUGUUCACAAGGACAGGUUUCACAUCUCCCAUCCCAAUUCGACCUUUGGAAAUCUGAAGGUGAUGAGUGUGCAGCCUGAAGACAGCGGCUUCUACCUGUGCGCUGCGAGAGACACAGAGCUGGGCAGAGAGCAGGGACCCCGACAAGAACCAGCACAGCCCCUUACCCCGCCCCUCGGAGCUGUGGGAGGAAGCCCCCGGCGGCGGAAUAACUCUAGCCCCAAAUACCUGCUCAGCGGGGAAGGAUGA